UACGGGGGGGGCAAGCGUUGUUCGGAAUUACUGGGCGUAAAGGGCUCGUAGGCGGCCAACUAAGUCGGAUGUGAAAUCCCCAGGCUUAACCUGGGAACUGCAUCCGAUACUGGAUGGCUUGAAUCCGGGAGAGGGAUGCAGAAUUCCAGGUGUAGCGGUGAAAUGCGUAGAUAUCUGGAGGAAUACCGGUGGCGAAGGCGGCCCCCUGGGCCGGCCCUGACACUGAGACGCGAAGGCGUGGGGAGCGAACGGG
rnacentral:rRNA from 1 species